AGAUAAAAAAUCCUAUAAAAUAUUUGUUGGCAAAAAAUACAGAGACCAAAGCACUCUGAAAAAUAAUUCAGAAAACACCAGCUCUGUCAUAUAAGUAAAAUCCUAAAAAUAUGGAUGCCAGGAACCAAGACAACAAAAUAAAACAAGUAGCAGACUGAAAUAAUAAAGAUUAUACCUGAAAAGUAGAAAUAAAAGGAUUUAAAUAAGUAAAGAUAAUAAAGACAUUGGAAAAUCCAUUACAAAAAGUUAAAAUCUGCAUUAUAAACAGCAAAAUAAUAAUCACAAUCAACCCAACAAUUUUAAAUGAGUAAUACUGAGAUGGAGGACAAGUUUGAGAAUUUUUGCUAGAAUAUAAAGAAUCAGGAGAAAAAUUAAGCAUUAAAAAGGUGAAAAAUGUUGGUGUGUUUAAAAGAUUGAGAAUUACAGAAAAACAUACAGUAAAGAGAUUUGUUUGUCUUUAGAAAAAUAUGUAUAAAAACUCCUUCAGUGGCCCCCAAUAUGUAUAAAAGAAUGAUUACAUGGUGAUAUAUAAAAGUAGUGGAAAGGGGUAAGAUGACUCAUUAUAUGGAUACUGGUCAAGUGGAUAAGUAUUAGAGGAAAAAGAAGAGUUUCCACUUUGCAUGACAGAUUUUAAGGAAAAUUAAGGUUUUUGUCAUUCUAGAUUGGGUAAGGUUUUUUUUUUUUUUUUUCUUUUUUGAGAUGGAGUCUCAUUCUGUUACCCAGGCUGGAGUGCAAUGGCACGACUCAGCUCACUGCAACCUCCACCUCCCACGUUCAAGCGAUUCUCCUGCCUCAGCCUCCUGAGUAGCUGGGACUACAGAUGUGCACCACCACGCCUGGCUAAUUUUUGUAUUUUUAGUAGAGAUGGGGUUUCACCAUGUUGGCCAAGCUGGUCUCGAACUCCUGACCUUGUGAUCCGCCCUCCUCGGCCUCCCAAAGUGCUGGGAUUACAGGUGUGAGCCACUGCACCUGGCCUGGGGAAGGUCUUCUAUGGCAUAAUUCGUUUAGAAAAAAGAUAACAGACUGGACAUCAUAAAAAUUUAAAAUAGGCCAGUCAUGGUGGCUCACACCUGUAAUUCCAGCACUUUGGGAGGCCAAGGUGGGCAGAUCUCUUGAGCUUAAGAGUUUGAGACCAGCCUGGGCAACAUGAUGAAACCCCGUCUCUACUAAAAAUACAAAAAUUAGCUGGGCAUGGUGGUGCACACCUGUAGUCCCAACUACUCAGGUAGCUGAGGCACAAAAAUCACUUGAACCUAGGAGGUGGAGGUUGCAGUGAGCCAAUAUAAUGCCACUGCAUUCCAGCGUGGGUGAAAGAGUGAGACCCCAUCUCAAUAAAAUAGUCAUAAGACAACAAAAACAAAUGCACCAUAAAGUUUAAGACAAAUAAUAAUCUUACAAAACAUAUUGAAAAUAUAGUCUAUAGAUCUAAAAAGGUCUUGUAAUCAAAAGAGGAACACACUGCCAGGUGCGGUGGCUCACGCCUUAUAAUCCCAGCACUUUGGGAGGCCAAGGUGGGUGGAUCACUUGAGGUCAGGAGUCCAAGACUAGCCUGGCCAACAUGGUGAAACCUUGACUCUACUAAAAAGAUACAAAAGUUAGCCUGGUGUGGGGGCAUGCACCUAUAAUCCCAGCUACUCAGGAGGCUGAAGCAUGAGAAUCACUGGAACCUGGGAGGUAGGAGGUUCCUACCUCACUGCAACACUUAGCCACUGCAGUGAGCCAACACUUAGCCACUGCACUCCAGCCUGGGCAACAGAGCGGAAUAAUAAUAAUAAUAAAAAUAAAACAAAAAAAAUUUUUUUAAGAAAAAGAAGAACAUACCAAUAGAAAAAUAGGCUAAGAAUACAAAUAGGCAAUUCAACAAAAGUAGUAUAAAUCAGCAAUAAAUAUGUAAACAGUCUAACCUCACCCAAAAUUACAGAAAUGCAAAAUUAAAUUUAAAAAGAUACAUUUAAAAAUGUUAAUAAUUUAUAUGCAAAACAGUAAUACACAGCAUGGCAAAGAUGUGGGGUGUAGCAUAGUCUCCCUCAGACUUUGCUAACUACACACUUGGGAAUAUCAUUUAAGAGCCUUGAAAACACGUACAUACCUUGACCCAGCAAUUCAACAUCUUAAAAUAAGUCCUGAGGAAAUAAUUAGAGAUGCAUAUAAAAAUUAUAACAGCUAACAUUUUAUAUUUAACAUGUGAAGGCUCUGGACUCAGCAACCCACAAGCAUCUUUUCAUUCCAUCCUCACAUUACUAUGGAGGCAGGAGCCAUUAUUACAGAUGCAGAAAUAGAUGACUAGACCAGUGUGAAUCAUUUGUCUAAGUGAAAGAAAUAAGCGGUGGAACUGUAACUUGUCUAAUCUCAAAAUGCAUGCUCUUAGUCUCUGCUGCCUCAAUGGGGAUGUUUACCCUCUGUCCUGCCUCUAUGGGGAUAUUUACCUGAGUGCUUUCUAGAAUGAUGAAGAAUUGCAAUUAGCCCAUGUAUCCAAGAACAGGGGACUGAUUAAAAAGUUAUAGAGCAUCUGUGCAAUAUGUGCCUGAGAAAAUCACACUCUAGAAGAACUUGAAUGACAUGUGACAAUAGACACUCUAUAGUGUUACAUGAAUAAAACCUGUAAUAUCUGCACAGUGAGUUCAAUUUUGUAAACAUACUGUUUUAGUAUACUAUACUAUACUAAAUUUAACAGGUAAUAAUAUAACAUUUUGAUGUCAUAUGACAAAACAGUUAAUAAAGGUUAACUCUAGUAUAUAGAACUGUUAUUUUCUUCUACUUUUUGUAUUCCUCCAAAUUUUCACAAUGACCACUCAUAACUUUUCAUCAGGAAAAAAUUUAUUUAAAAUAUGUACGGAGAGACAGGAAGAGAGAUAGACAUACACUGAACAAGUAUAUAGCUGAUUUACAUAUUAAAUAGUAUAGAUAAAAAAGUUGGGCUAAAAUUUGGAAAGAUUUAUCUUUACUUAAUAUUCAGGGGGGAAAACCCCCAGACACACAGAAGGCAUUCUAUUUCUAGGAAUCUGCAAGUCUUUGAGAGUCCUUUUCACUCUCUAAAGACUAAUGACUUCUGUUGCUAGGAGGAAGGGAUCAAGGGUAGCUCUUGGUAGGACACUAGUACAAAGCCACACUGCACUUGCUAUGAGGAAUUUUAGCAAGCUUUCUUAAGGAAUCCUGAUCAGUACAAAGAAGACAUUCUCAAAGCACUGGCUCUCAUAUUCCUCUUCCAACCCAAAGUCCUCCAAUGUAUUAAGAGUACAAAAAAAUAAACUCGAAGUAAUUCAAAAAAAGUCUCUGGUUUUGCUUAAUUCUCAGCCUUUUUUUUUGAGACUGAGUCUUGCUCUGUCAUUCAGGCUGGAGUUCAGUGGUGUGAUCUUGGCUCACUGCAACCUCCGCUUCCUGGGUUCAAGGGAUUCUCCUGCCUCAGCCUCCUGAGUAGCAGGGCUAUAGGUGCACACCACCACACCCGGCUAAUUUUUGUAUUUUUUAUUUUUGGGGAUGGAGUUUCGUUCUUGUUGCCCAGGCUGGAGUGCAAUGACGCAGUCCUGGCUCACUGCAACCUCCGCCUCCCGGGUUCAAGCAGUUCUCCUGCCUCAGCCUCCCAAGUAGCUGGGAUUACAGGUGUGCACCACCACACCUGACUAAUUUUUUUGUAUUUUUAGUAGAGAAAGGGUUUCACUAUUUGGCGAGGCUGGUCUCGAACUCCUGACUUCAGGUGAUCGCUCACCUUGACCUCCCAAAGUGCUGGGAUUACAGGUGUGAGCCACCACACCCAGCCUAAUUUUUGUAUUUUCAGUAGAGAUGGG
rnacentral:lncRNA from 10 species